UUUGGUGGUCAUAGCACGAGCAAAACACCCGGAUCCAUUCCGAACCCGGCCGUUAAGUGCCGUAGCGCCGAUGGUACUGCGUCUUAAGACGUGGGAGAGUAGGUCACCGCCAAAC
rnacentral:rRNA from 1 species